rnacentral:rRNA from 1 species
GUCCUAGCUGUAAACGAUGAAUACUAGGUGUUGGCGGCUUUAACCCCGCCUGUGCCGAAGCUAACGCGUUAAGUAUUCCGCCUGGGAAGUACGAUCGCAAGAUUAAAACUCAAAGGAAUUGACGGGGACCCGCACAAGCAGCGGAGCGUGUGGUUUAAUUCGAUGCUACACGAAGAACCUUACCCAGACUUGACAUAUAGGUGGUAGUGAACCCGAAAGGGGAACGACCCGUAAGGGAGCCUAUACAGGUGUUGCAUUGCUGUCGU